UUAGUUGAGUAAGCUGAUGUCAGACCUCAUGUCGGAGUCCUUUUGAUUUGGGAAGGAACCGAGUACCGGACUGCUAGAUAUUAAGGCAUUUGCCCGGGGCGGCAGCCUCGGCGGCAGACUCAUCGGACGAAGACUCCGGAGGACAAAGACAGAGGAGUCUACGCAGGAGUCUUCGCGGGAGGCCGAGCGGUGCCCUGGCAGAGUCCUUGGAGGAGCUGGAUGUCCUCCUUUCACACAUCCCUGAAACUGGCCCUCAACAUCCACACAGAGAACAUCCCAAAUGGUGGAACGAGCUCCCCAUUAGACAUCAGGAUGGACGAAAGCUUACACAUCUUCCACCAAAGGCUACAACCGCAUCUCUUCCGACUACACCUCGGAUAAAAUGGAAAAACCUUAUUAAAUAAAAUUCUUAAAGCUGCACUUUCA